GGGUUGUGAGGUUAAGCGACUAAGCGUACACGGUGGAUGCCCUGGCAGUCAGAGGCGAUGAAGGACGUGCUAAUCUGCGAUAAGCGCCGGUAAGGUGAUAUGAACCGUUAUAACCGGCGAUUUCCGAAUGGGGAAACCCAGUGUGACUCGUCACACUAUCAUUAACUGAAUCCAUAGGUUAAUGAGGCGAACCGGGGGAACUGAAACAUCUAAGUACCCCGAGGAAAAGAAAUCAACCGAGAUUCCCCCAGUAGCGGCGAGCGAACGGGGAGGAGCCCAGAGCCUGAAUCAGCAUGUGUGUUAGUGGAAGCGUCUGGAAAGGCGCGCGAUACAGGGUGACAGCCCCGUACACAAAAGCGCAUGUGCUGUGAGCUCGAUGAGUAGGGCGGGACACGUGGUAUCCUGUCUGAAUAUGGGGGGACCAUCCUCCAAGGCUAAAUACUCCUGACUGACCGAUAGUGAACCAGUACCGUGAGGGAAAGGCGAAAAGAACCCCGGCGAGGGGAGUGAAAAAGAACCUGAAACCGUGUACGUACAAGCAGUGGGAGCACAGGUUUACCUGUGUGACUGCGUACCUUUUGUAUAAUGGGUCAGCGACUUAUAUUCUGUAGCAAGGUUAACCGAAUAGGGGAGCCGUAGGGAAACCGAGUCUUAACCGGGCGUUAAGUUGCAGGGUAUAGACCCGAAACCCGGUGAUCUAGCCAUGGGCAGGUUGAAGGUUGGGUAACACUAACUGGAGGACCGAACCGACUAAUGUUGAAAAAUUAGCGGAUGACCUGUGGCUGGGGGUGAAAGGCCAAUCAAACCGGGAGAUAGCUGGUUCUCCCCGAAAGCUAUUUAGGUAGCGCCUCGUGAACUCAUCUCCGGGGGUAGAGCACUGUUUCGGCUAGGGGGCCAUCCCGGCUUACCAACCCGAUGCAAACUGCGAAUACCGGAGAAUGUUAUCACGGGAGACACACGGCGGGUGCUAACGUCCGUCGUGAAGAGGGAAACAACCCAGACCGCCAGCUAAGGUCCCAAAGUCAUGGUUAAGUGGGAAACGAUGUGGGAAGGCCCAGACAGCCAGGAUGUUGGCUUAGAAGCAGCCAUCAUUUAAAGAAAGCGUAAUAGCUCACUGGUCGAGUCGGCCUGCGCGGAAGAUGUAACGGGGCUAAACCAUGCACCGAAGCUGCGGCAGCGAACGUAUCACUUAAAGCGAUUCAGCGGGUUACGAUUGACG
rnacentral:rRNA from 1 species